rnacentral:tRNA from 1 species
GCGGGCGUAGCUCAAUGGUAGAGCCCUAGCCUUCCAAGCUAGCCACGCGAGUUCGAUUCUCGUCGCCCGCUCCA